CACUAUUGUCUGUAAAAGGUGUAACUAUCCUGCUGAUGCUGUACCUACAGCUUGCACCCAGAAAGAGAAUAAAGCCAUGUUGCAACUGCCUACGAUUCCUCAAGCGGUCUUUCAGCUACCUGCCACUCACACACCCACUCUCCUUGGACCUCAGCUUGGGCUAGAACCUGACACUUGGCAUAGUUGGCAGGAUCCCGAGAUUUAGAAGCAGUGGCACCCCUCUUGCAGCAACAUUUGGCAGCAUGUAGUUGGGCUGUCAACAAAUCCAAGGUCCAAGAAAUCCAAGGUCCAAGGUCCAAGGGCCUAGAUUAUCUGCCAAAUUCUUGGGAGCUAUCUGGUCAGGUCUGGGAUGAGCAGAUGUCCGGCAACUUCUUCCAUGCAGAGAAGAAUUACGUGCUUGAGUUGUUGCUGAAUUCAUUCUCCAUGUGAAGAAGAAUGUACAUUUCACAUUGUUUUGAAUAUUGAAUGGCAAAAAGGAAAAGAAAAUAAACCAUACAAAAAUAACUGCAUGACAUUAAUGCUAAGGACUUAAACUCGCCAAAACAAGGAAAUUCCAAUUUAAGGCCAAAUAUUCAGGACCACACUGCCUUUUCAGCCACACUGAUGUGAACUGUUACUAACCAGGAUUCUUUCUUCACCUGGUGUUUCCUUGGCUUGUCAUUUUGAUGCUCAGCAACUUAGUCAACUACUCAGGGAGAAAUGAUUCCCAUUCAUUCAGGUUAUACUCUGUUUUCAUUGCUGGGAUUGGUAUUUAGAGUUUUUACUAAGCAGCUUCAAAAAGAAGGGUUUGUUUGUUUCAACUUUGUUUGAAAGUUGAUCUUCCUUAUUAAAAGUCAUGGCAUCGCAAAAC
rnacentral:lncRNA from 1 species